GACCCAGACUGGUGAACUUCUCUGCUCUCAAUCUCCAAGGUUGGUAGCCUCUGAAUUUGAUCGGCAAGCUCACCACUCAAACCUUCUGAAAUGAAAAGGCUGAACAGCAGGAUCAGAAAAGCACUUCAAAGAAAAGCAUUUUGCAUACAAAUGAAGAGGCUUCUUGGAAAACGAAGACAGGGUCUACGUUACUGAGCCUUACAAUAUGCUAACUUCCUUGGUUUUAAAGAUGCUAAGGGAAUCCUUUCAAGGUACUGAUGCUUAGAUAUAUCAAAAAUAAUAAGCUAAGACAAUACUUAAACCCAUAUUUUACUAGCUUUGUUCACCUUAAUAUUUUCAAAAUUAAAAUU